GACAGAGGGUGCAAACGUUGCUCGGAAUCACUGGGCGUAAAGCGCAUGUAGGCGGCAGCGCAAGUCGGGCGUGAAAUCCCACGGCUCAACCGUGGAAGUGCACUCGAAACUGCGCAGCUAGAGUCCUGGAGAGGAAGGUGGAAUGCUUGGUGUAGAGGUGAAAUUCGUAGAUAUCAAGCGGAACACCGGUGGCGAAGGCGGCCUUCUGGACAGUGACUGACGCUGAGAUGCGAAAGCGUGGGGAGCAAACAGG
rnacentral:rRNA from 1 species